UACGUAGGGGGCUAGCGUUGUCCGGAAUCAUUGGGCGUAAAGAGCGUGUAGGCGGCCCGGUAAGUCCGCUGUGAAAGUCGGGGGCUCAACCCUCGAAUGCCGGUGGAUACUGUCGGGCUAGAGUGCGGAAGAGGCGAGUGGAAUUCCUGGUGUAGCGGUGAAAUGCGCAGAGUAUCAGGAGGAACACCGAUUGCGAAGGCAGCUCGCUGGGACGUUAACUGACGCUGGAGACGCGAAAGCGUGGGGAGCAAACAGG
rnacentral:rRNA from 1 species